rnacentral:rRNA from 1 species
UACGUAGGCAGCGAGCGUUGUUCGGAGUUACUGUGCGUAAAGGGUGUGUAGGCGGUUGUUUAAGUUUGGUGUGAAAUCUCCCGGCUCAACUGGGAGGGUGCGCCGAAUACUGAGCGACUAGAGUGCGGGAGAGGAAAGUGGAAUUCCUGGUGUAGCGGUGAAAUGCGUAGAUAUCAGGAGGAACACCGGUGGUGUAGACGGCUUUCUGGACCGUAACUGACGCUGAGACACGAAAGCGUGGGUAGCAAACAGG